CUCAAUUAUGAAUAUUAUCUGCAUAUAAUGGCUCGGACGCUAUAUCUAAAGUAUGUGGUUAUCCUGAUCAAUGGUUGCUUACGAUGUCAUUUGAUCCUGGAAACAGAACAUGCACUA